AGAGUUUGAUCCUGGCUCAGAACGAACGCUGGCGGCGUGGAUAAGACAUGCAAGUCGAACGCUGACUUGAGGGUAGCAAUAUUUUCAAGUCGGAGUGGCGCAAGGGUGCGUAACACGUGGAUCAUCUGCCGUGAAGUCUGGAAUAACUCGCUGAAAGGCGAGCUAAUGCCGGAUGUGAAUGAAAAUUCAAAGUUGGGGACCGCAAGGCCUGACGCUUCACGAUGAGUCCGCGGCCUAUCAGCUAGUUGGUGAGGUAAUGGCUCACCAAGGCUAAGACGGGUAGCUGGUCUGAGAGGACGACCAGCCACACUGGAACUGAGAUACGGUCCAGACACCUACGGGUGGCAGCAGUCGAGAAUUUUUCUCAAUGGGCGAAAGCCUGAAGGAGCGACGCCGCGUGGGGGAUGAAUGGCUUCGGCCCGUAAACCCCUGUCAUUUGCGAACAAGUGGUUUCACCUAACACGUGAAGCCUUGAUUGUAGCGGAAGAGGAAGGGACGGCUAACUCUGUGCCAGCAGCCGCGGUAAUUC
rnacentral:rRNA from 1 species